rnacentral:tRNA from 1 species
GCCGCAGUAGCUCAGUGGGAGAGCACUCCGCUGAAGACGGAGGGGUCGCUUGUUCAAAUCAGGCCUGCGGCA